UGAUAGCUAAACCAACAACUGGGAGUUUUCUUUGAGUGUUCAUUCAAAGUCUCUUGAAAUUAGUCAUGCGAGUCUACUUAUGUUCAAUCUCUGAUGUAAUAGAAUAUGUUCCAUCGGAGUGGUAUGAGUGGACCCUUUAUUGCAGAAAGAUAAUCUUGCAAGUUGUUGUCAAAUCAGGUAGGAUUACCCGCUGAACUUAA
rnacentral:misc_RNA from 1 species